GAGAUAGAGCUUCCCCUUCGGGGGCAAAGUGACAGGUGGUGCAUGGUUGUCGUCAGCUCGUGUCGUGAGAUGUUGGGUUAAGUCCCGCAACGAGCGCAACCCUUAUUGUUAGUUGCCAUCAUUUAGUUGGGCACUCUAGCGAGACUGCCGGUGACAAACCGGAGGAAGGUGGGGAUGACGUCAAAUCAUCAUGCCCCUUAUGACCUGGGCUACACACGUGCUACAAUGGGAAGUACAACGAGUUGCGAAGUCGCGAGGCUAAGCUAAUCUCUUAAAGCUUCUCUCAGUUCGGAUUGUAGGCUGCAACUCGCCUACAUGAAGCCGGAAUCGCUAGUAAUCGCGGAUCAGCACGCCGCGGUGAAUACGUUCCCGGGCCUUGUACACACCGCCCGUCACACCACGAGAGUUUGUAACACCCGAAGUCGGUGAGGUAACCUUUUUGGAGCCAGCCGCCUAAGGUGGGAUAGAUGAUUGGGGUGAAGUCGUAACAAGGUAGCCGUAUCGG
rnacentral:rRNA from 1 species